UGUCCUUUGAGGGUGGAGCUGGAAACCUAACCUGAAAACAGGAGAAAUUACUUGGCAAGAGAGAGCUAGGAGGCAAUUCAGCCAUUCCUGGGGGCAUUUCAGCAGGAUCAACACACCUUCAACCUGAAAGCUUCAGGAAACCACACUCAAGAAGUCAAAGUGCUAAGAAGUUUUCACCCUGCUGUCAGACCCAGUGGUCCUGUCAAGCUUUUUUUCUCCUACUGAUAUUAACUUCCCAGAUAUUUCUGAGUCUCUUUGUCCUGAAACUGCACCAAAAGUUGGAAACAUUUAAGCGAGGAGAAGCUGCAAUUCAAAAGAAUGGAUCUUUUGGCAUUACCAGGGAGCAGAAGAAUGUGGAAACAAAUCAUAGCAAAAAGGAUGAGAUGGAUUCUAAAUUGAAGACCUUAAACCAGCAGGAAAUUAAUUAUGUUCUUGAGUUUGUUUACAAACUAAAUAUGUCCUCAACUCUGGAGCUCCACAAAACCAAGGAAAGAAUCAUUCAACUGCAAAACCAUUUGCUCAACUUAACAGACCAAUUUCUUUCUAUGGAGACUGUUAUUGAUUCUCUGGUCCACUCUAGCGAUCUUCAGCAUCCUGUGCAGGAGAAACUGACCAUACUCGAGAAACAGCUGGAAAACACCACCGUGGCUUUGACUAACCUUCACAACCACCUUGAAGAGGGGCUAGACACAGCUUUUCGACAGAUUUCACAACUUAAGGAUGGUUUUUACUUUCCAGAAGAUUCAAAGAAUCGCACCACCAUGGAUCACAAUAGUUCAUACCUCUCACCAGCUAAACCCUCACAAGAAGCAAAACUGAGACUCUCUGAACCUUGGCUCCCUUCUGUGACAUCCAGUCCAAGUAAUGAAAUUUCUGUGCCAGAAUCAACCUCCCAAAUUCCAGAAGAAACCACGAAUUCAGUGACACUGGAAGAGAAGACCAAAUUAAACAUCUCAUUCAUAAACACUCUCACAGGUAAGAGUUUCAGGGUCGAGUGGGUUUCUAGAAAAUAUAUUUGGAAACUGAAUCAGAAAGUUG
rnacentral:lncRNA from 1 species